rnacentral:tRNA from 1 species
GGAAGAGUGGCAGAGCGGUUGAAUGCACUGGUCUUGAAAACCAGCAUACCUUCGCGGGUAUCGUGGGUUCGAAUCCCACCUCUUCCGCCA